rnacentral:rRNA from 1 species
AUUGAACGCUGGCGGCAGGCUUAACACAUGCAAGUCGAGCGGGGGAAGGUAGCUUGCUACCGGACCUAGCGGCGGACGGGUGGGUAAUGCUUAGGAAUCUGCCUAUUAGUGGGGGACAACAUCUCGAAAGGGAUGCUAAUACCGCAUACGUCCUACGGGAGAAAGCAGGGGAUCUUCGGACCUUGCGCUAAUAGAUGAGCCUAAGUCGGAUUAGCUAGUUGGUGGGGUAAAGGCCUACCAAGGCGACGAUCUGUAGCGGGUCUGAGAGGAUGAUCCGCCACACUGGGACUGAAACACGGCCCAGACUCCUACGGGAGGCAGCAGUGGGGAGUAUUGGACAAUGGGGUGAACCCUGAUCCAGCCAUGCCGCGUGUGUGGAGAAGGCCUUAUGGUUGUAAAGCACUUUAAGCGAGGAGGAGGCUACUCUAGUUAAUACCUAGGGAUAGUGGACGUUACUCGCAGAAUAAGCACCGGCUAACUCUGUGCCAGCCGCCGCAGUAA